UGUUACUCUUUGUUUUAAGAAAAAAUACCUGGGUACUAACCAGUUAUAGUCUUGAAACUCAAAGGAUUUGGCGGUAACUUAGUCUAUUUAGAGGAACCUGUUCUGUAAACGAUAAACCACGCAAAAUCUUACCUUAUUUUGUAGGACCAGUUUGUAUACCGUCAUUAUUAGGGAACCUUAAUAAAGUUAAGUUGCUGUAAUAAUUUCUUUUAUUAGUAUAUUAGAUCAAGGUGCAACUUAUAAUAAGGCAGAAAUGGGUUACAAUGGAAUAUCUUCAAACGGAUUCAAGAGGUAAGUACCCUUUAUGAAGGUGGAUUUAAUAGUACAAAGAUUUUAAAAUGUUCUUUUGACUUUAGCUCUAGGUUAU
rnacentral:rRNA from 1 species